GUACAGGAGGGUGCAACGUUGCUCGGAAUCAUUGGGCGUAAAGCGCACGUAGGCGGCUCGUUAAGUCGGAUGUGAAAGCCCUGGGCUCAACCCAGGAAGUGCAUACGAAACUGCAUGGCUGGAGUCCCGGAGAGGAAGGUGGAAUGCUUGGUGUAGAGGUGAAAUUCGUAGAUAUCAAGCAGAACACCUGCGGCGAAGGCGGCCUCUGGACGGUGACUGACGCUGAGACGCGAAAGCGUGGGGAGCAAACAGG
rnacentral:rRNA from 1 species